AUAUAAAUCUCCUGGGGAUCUUGCUAAAAUUCAGAUUCUGAUCCAGCAGAUCUGGGUGGCCUGAAAUUCUGUAUUUCUAACCAGCCCCCAGGUGAUGCUGUU
rnacentral:pre_miRNA from 1 species